CUAUCGCAUGACCCUGCUUAAGAUUAACUGGUUGGUGAGGUAAAAACUCACCAAGGCGACGAUCUUUAGCUGGUCUGACAGGAUGAUCAGCCACACUGGAACUGAAACACCGUCCAGACUCCUACGGGAGGCAACAUUGGGGAAUAUUGGACAAUGGGCGCAAGCCUGAUUCAGCGAUACCGCAUGUGUGUAGAAUGCCUAACGGUUGUAAAGCACUUUCAAUUACGAAUAAAAACUAAUGGUUAAUACCCACUUAGUCUUGACGUUACUUUUAGAAGAAGCACCGGCUAACUCCCUGCCAACUACCGCGGUAGUACGGAUGGUGCAAGCGUUAAUCGGAAUUACUGGGCGUAAAGCGUGCAUAGGUGGUUUGUUAAGUCAGAUGUGAAAGCCCCGGGCUCAACCUAGGAACUGCAUUUGAAACUGGCAAACUAGAGUAUAAGAAAUGAAAGUGGAAUUUCUGGUGUAGCGGUGAAAUGCGUAAAUAUUAGAAGGAACAUCAAUGGAGAAGGCAUCUUUCUGGACUAAUACUGACACUGAUGUACAACAGCGUGGAUAGCAAACCCGAUUAGAUACCCUGGUAGUCCACGCCGUAUACGAUGAUAACUAAUCCUUGAGGGGGUUACCCUUUAUUGGUGAACCUAACGCGUUAAAUGCUCCCCCUGGUGAGUACUGCCGCAAGGUUAAAACUCAAACGAAUUGACUGGAACCCGCGCUAUCGGUGGAGCAUGUGCGUU
rnacentral:rRNA from 1 species